UGGCUGGCCAAGAAAACUUGGCAUCUGGCAUACCUAGGAAUCAUUCAAAAUAGUUUAAUAGGAAGGACAUUUUGAGGCCAGCCAGCAUUAUGACAUUUGUGGGUCCUACGGCAUUUCACCUUGGAAACAUUUUCCUGGGCAUCUAAAAGUAUUGUGGACCUGAGGCACUGUGCUUACAGGGCCUACUGGGUUGAUUCUAAAGAAGAAAGAAAAUCUAUAUGCAUGAAAAGAUGUCUUAAAGUUUUGAACUACUCAAAGUUAAGAUUUGGGGAAAUCAGAAAUAGUAUAUAACCUAAGAAAAUUGCCACUGGCUGUGAACCCCCAUGGCAUUUUCUUUGCACUUCUUUGCUUCUCGUUAGAUUGUAUGUGUUUUUACCAUUUCACACAAACUUUUAAAGAUUAUUCCACACCCUUAGCUCUGUGCUUCUAUUAGUGUCUCUAUGUCUCUUCCUCUCUCUCUUCCAUCUGAGUACAAUGGCUAGAAAAUAAUACACACUUGAAUGAAUAAAUGUCAUUUAAAUAUUUUAAUGAACAGAAGAAAUAGUACAAUAUAUUUCCCUUGACC